rnacentral:lncRNA from 1 species
UAUAAAUGGGAAAGUGGUAGACGAUGCUUGGGAAGUUGUUUCUCACUCAGAUAGUCACACCGAUGACAUAUUUAACACGGAUACAAUUAUGGAUAAAAACAAAAUUGAAGAUGGCAUUUAUAAUAAUUAUGAUAAUGGAUAUGUUAACAAAGAUUUAUCUUCAUCAGCAGGUAAUAAUAACAAGUACGUCAACCCAAACAACAGUGUAAUAGAAACUUCCUCGAAUGUAAAUUAUAUCCAUAAUGAUAAGACCUAUUACUAUAGCAACAGUAAUAGUUAUGACAGAAGUAGUGACAAGAGCAAUAGUAUUACCAAAAACAAUACUAUUCUUUUGCUUGAUUCGAAUAUAUUAAACAUAUUACUUCUAAACCUUAUCGAAAAUAUAAGAAUGAAUUGUGAUUUAAAACUCGAUAAUGUUUUAUUACAAAUAUGGGAUUCCAAUGUUGCACAUAAUCAUAGAUGUUCUAUGAAUUUUAUUUUAGAAUAUUUUAAUAUUCAUUUAUAUUCAUUAAACGUACAUGAAAAUAAAUUAAAAAAUGAAAAUUUAAAUAUUUAUAAUUAUUACAACAGUUUUUCAUGCAGUUAUUUAAAUACUAGUACAAAUGUUAGCUUGUAUGAUAAUCAUCAAAUGCAGGAUUGGAAGUUGGGUGAUAAUAUUGAUAGUAGUAGUGGUAGUAAUGCCACCACAAAAGGAGGGACUAACAAAAAAAAUGAUUUUUUACAUAUAGGAAACCAAAUGGGUAAUGUACUUGUUGAAUCUAGUUGUUACGAUUCGUUUGGUUAUAAUAAAAAUAAUGUAAACCGGUUAUCAAAGGACGAUUCAAUAGGCAAUAAUUCGGCAGAUUUUAAAGGCGUUUAUGAAAAGUAUGCCAACGAAGACAACAACCAUACAAAUGAUUACAACAAGGAAAGUUACAAAAAUAAAAAUAAUUUUUUAAACAAUAAUAAUCUUACAAACACAAACAUGAAACAAGCAUAUGUAGAGUUUUAUAAUGUUAAUCCUUCUAUUCGCCUUAAUAAUAAUGAAAACGAUUAUUCUGUACAAUACAACAUAAGUAACAAACACAUUUCAACUACAUCUACUAACGCUUUAAUAACAACCAACACAAUAGAUUCGUAUAGUAAUAAUACAAACACUAAUGCGGUUAAUGAUAUGAUACCUAAAGAUGGUGACAAAAGAGUUUUCGCUAGUGCUGACGCAAAUCAAACGCUAAACGCAUUAAACGAAGAACAAAUAUACAAAGGUACAAAAAGUGUCAAGUAUAAUAACCUACAAGACGACAUAAAUGAAAAUAAAAAAAAACAAGUUAUGACACUGUCAUGCAAAAACAAUUUUGUUAAACAUUUUAAACAGCUUAAUUACGAAAUUAAAAAAAUUUUUAAUACAUUAUUUUUAAGAAAAAAGAAAGAUUAUGAUAAUGAAGUAACAAUAAAAAUUAAAGAAGAAUCACACGAAUUAAAUUAUAAUAAUAU